rnacentral:rRNA from 1 species
GACGAACGCUGGCGGCGUGCCUAAUACAUGCAAGUAGAACGCACAGUUUAUACCGUAGCUUGCUACACCAUAGACUGUGAGUUGCGAACGGGUGAGUAACGCGUAGGUAACCUGCCUGGUAGCGGGGGAUAACUAUUGGAAACGAUAGCUAAUACCGCAUAAUAUUAAUUAUUGCAUGAUAAUUAAUUGAAAGGUGCAAUUGCACCACUACCAGAUGGACCUGCGUUGUAUUAGCUAGUAGGUGAGGUAACGGCUCACCUAGGCGACGAUACAUAGCCGACCUGAGAGGGUGAUCGGCCACACUGGGACUGAGACACGGCCCAGACUCCUACGGGAGGCAGCAGUAGGGAAUCUUCGGCAAUGGACGAAAGUCUGACCGAGCAACGCCGCGUGAGUGAAGAAGGUUUUCGGAUCGUAAAGCUCUGUUGUAAGAGAAGAACGGGUGUGAGAGUGGAAAGUUCACA